rnacentral:rRNA from 1 species
GAUGAACGCUAGCUACAGGCUUAACACAUGCAAGUCGAGGGGAAACGAUAUUGGAAGCUUGCUUCCGAUAGGCGUCGACCGGCGCACGGGUGAGUAACGCGUAUCCAACCUGCCCAUCACUUGGGGAUAACCUUGCGAAAGUAAGACUGAUACCCAAUGAUAUCUCUAGAAGACAUCUGAAGGAGAUUAAAGAUUUAUCGGUGAUGGAUGGGGAUGCGUCUGAUUAGCUUGUUGGCGGGGUAACGGCCCACCAAGGCGACGAUCAGUAGGGGUUCUGAGAGGAAGGUCCCCCACAUUGGAACUGCGACCCGGUCCAAACCCCUACGGAGGGCAGCAGUGAGGAAUAUUGGUCAAUGGGCGAGAGCCUGAACCAGCCAAGUAGCGUGCAGGAUGACGGCCCUAUGAGUUGUAAACUGCUUUUAUAAGGGAAUAAAGUGAGUCUCGUGAGACUUUUUGCAUGUACCUUAUGAAUAAGUACCGGCUAAUUCCGUGCCAGCCGCCGCCGUAA